UACGAAGGGUGCUAGCGUUGUUCCGAAUUACUGGGCGUAAAGCGCGCGUAGGCGGCUUCGCAAGUCAGAGGUGAAAUCCCUGGGCUCAACCCAGGAAUUGCCUUUGAAACUGCGAAGCUAGAGUGUCGGAGGGGAUAGCGGAAUUGCUAAUGUAGAGGUGAAAUUCGUAGAUAUUAGCAGGAACACCGGUGGCGAAGGCGGCUAUCUGGACGACAACUGACGCUGAGGCGCGAAAGCACGGGGAUCAAACAGG
rnacentral:rRNA from 1 species